rnacentral:rRNA from 1 species
UCUUUUAGAAUUUGUGAAGGGCAAACUGCUCAGUAACACGUAACUAACCUACCCUUAGGUUAAGGAUAUCCUCGGGAAACUGAGGGUAAUACUUAAUAAGAGAUAUACCCUGGAAAGAUUUAUCUCUGAAAUUCGAGCCCAAGGAUGGGGUUGCGGUGGAUUAGGUUGUUGGCGGGGUAAUAGCCCACCAAGCCUGUGAUCCAUAAGGGCUCUUAGCGGAGAGGCCCUGAGAGGGAAUCUGAGACACUAUUCCCAGCCCCACGGGGUGCAGCAGUUAGGAAUAUUCUGCAAUGCGCGCAAGCGUGACAGAUUGAACCAGAGUGUUUUUCGUAUAGAAAAGCUUUUAUGAAAUGUAAAAAGUUUCAGGAAUAAGGACUGGGUAAGACUAGUGCCAGCCGCCGCGGUAAUACUAGCGGUCCAAGUCGCAGCCAUUUUUAUUGGGUCUAAAACAUCCGUAGCUUGCUUAGUAAGUUUCUUGUGAAAUUUUAUGUCUUAAACAUGGAGCGUGCAGGAAGUACUGUUAAGCUAGAGACUGGAAGACGUGAGAAGUACGUUUAAAGUAGCGGUAAAAUGUGUUAAUCUUAGACGGACUCACAAUAGCGAAGGCAUCUCACGAGGACAGUUCUGACAGUAAGGGAUGAAGGCUAGGGGCGCAAAACGGAUUAGAUACCCGUGUAGUCCUAGCAGUAAACACUGCACACUAAACAUNNUCAGGUAACAGGCAAGACCCACAUGUAUAUUUACUACGUGUACUAUAUACAGAUUGCCUUGGUAACGAGGAUGAAAGUGUGGGCUACGUUAGGUGAGUACAGCCCUAAUCCCCUGGGCAACACGCGCGCGUCAAUGGUGAAUACAACGGGACGCGACUCCGAAAGGAGAAGCUAAUCUCUUAAAGUUCAUCUCAGUUCAGAUCGAGGUUUGUAACUCAGCCUCGUGACGCUGGAAUCUGUAGUAAUCGUUUGUUAUCAACGAACGGUGAAUAUGUCACUGUCUCUUGCACACACUGCCCGUCAAACCAACCAAGUUUAGUUAUGGUGAAACAAUUCGUUGGAGAACCUUGACUAGACAAGGUAGGUUAAGUCGUCACAAGGUAUCUGUAGGGGAACCUGCAGAUGGAUUACCUCCUA